rnacentral:lncRNA from 1 species
AUGGCAAUGAGCACACCAAGGCACUGUGCAGUCAAAAUACAGGUUAUGUGCUCCUGUGAGCAGGUGCUCUUACAUCAGUCUGAAUUUUGCUGUGAAAUACUUUGCUUGGCUCUUGGUGGGGUUUUACCCAGGAUCAGUUCAGUCUUCAGUGAAGGAUGCACGACCAAGAGGGACAAUGGUAGCAUGACAAUGGGAGGCAGUGGGGGUCAGCUCCUGAUGGAGGGUCUGGAUGAAAGAAGAGCAAGGAAGGAUGGGAGAGUGCUUAUCACAGUGGGCAACAGAAACAUCUCCAGAUCUUCAAUACCCAGCAGAGAGACCUCCUGCACAGCCUCUUUUUCCCUUCACAGUCUGGGAAUCAGCUCUGCUGUCAUGAUAAAUGUUGGGAUUCUCUCAAAGAUGGUGCAGAACAACCUUCAUUUCUCCUUACCCUGGCAAGGACUGGAGUUUGACAGCAUACUGAUGAAAAAAAGACAUUAUGUGAAUGGCAGAAAAGACAUACAGUAGCAAGGUGAUCCUACUACAUAUGGAUAUGUACAGAGAGAUAUCUCAGAACAUCUUCAUUUAAUUUUCUCUUCUGCAAAAGAGAUGGAACAAGGAGGUUUUCAUUUCAAGAUAAAUGCUAAUUGACACUCUGCCUCCCAGGAAAAUAUCACAUGAAGAAAAUGCAGCCUUCCCUGCAGAACAGAGAAGACUGCAAAAUGCUGUUCUGAAUUCCUGAGCUUCAUGGCAUCGAGUUUUAAAUUUUCAUGUCUCCAGGUUUUCAAUAUUUACUUUCAUUUCCUUAUCAAGUUAUAAAAAGGAUGAUGAUUUCAUUGCUUGUGACUUAUUCUUGGGACUUUGGAAGUACCAGUAUCAGUCACUAGUAUUAUUAAAAAACAGUACAGACCCCUGUAUCAGGGAAGGAAAAAUCCAAACAUGGACAGAUUUGUUUCUUUCCUCUUGGUGUGAAAAUGAUAGUACUCCCUAACACAACCCAAAUAGUGAAGAACGAUACUCAUUCAAUUGUGUUUCAACAUUAUAUUCUGCUUUACUUUAUAGAAUAUUUGGAAAAAUUCAGAAUUUUUUUUUCCCAAAAAGAUACUGAAGGGAAUUUCUUAUUCUUCUAAUCUUAAUUAAACAUUGAUAUGUGUAAAAUGUUUUGUGGCUACACGUUCCUUCAAGCUUCCACUUCAAGAUGAAAUGUUUGUUUAAUGUUUUCCACAAAAUGCACACCUCAAGAUUUCAUAGAUACCAGAAUUCUGAAAUUCUAAGUUAUUAUACACAUUGGAAAUGUAAGGAUAUCACACCUGUGCUUUCAUUCUGAACUGUUUCUGAUUCUGUUGAAGGAUUAUUUUGUCAUGUUGACUGGAUCUUUCCAGCUAUGUCUACCAUUUAUUGAACUAUUAAUAUAAUCCACAUGGAAUGUUACAUGAGGCAGCAAUCCUGCAGCUAGGAUUGUAGGCAAUCAUGUAAUUAAAGAUUGUAUCAUGAUACAUCAGCACAGGGAGGCCAAUUUAAUAAGAACAAGAACAAUCUGAAGUCUGGCACUUUCUUUGUUUAGGACUUGCCUUUACAAAUGUCUAAUGAACUAAUCUGAUCUGAUAAUUGCAUGUCUUUUUUGUACUAGAGGAUAUAGUCAGAAGAUACAUUUCUAGAAUAAUUGAAGCAUAAUACCUUUAGCAAAAGAAAAAAAGAGCUCAAAUUCUAGUUCAUCACUUUUCUUAAAGUAUUUCUUCUGCUCAAUAUUUGGCCUUCAUAUUUACUGGUGUGGAAAGUAGGAUUUGAUAGGCUGGAUGGUUUUAUUUGGCAGAGGAAGAAGUUUGUUGUUUACAUUUGCUUAGCUGGUAGAACAGCAUGCUCAGGUGUUUCCUAGUAACUUAAACAGCUACCCCUAAUACUUUUAAAAUAAAAUUAAAAAUAUGAAAUGCA